rnacentral:rRNA from 1 species
GUCUGUGAUGCCCUUAGAUGUUCUGGGCCGCACGCGCGUUACACUGGUCGAGCCAACGAGUGUUUCCUUGGCCGGUGGGCCUGGGUAAUCUUGUGAAACUCGACCGUGCUGGGGAUAGAGCAUUGCAAUUAUUGCUCUUAAACGAGGAAUUCCUAGUAGAUGCUUUUCAUCAGAAAGCGUCGAUUACGUCCCUGCCCUUUGUACACACCGCCCGUCGCUACUACCGAUCGAAUGGCUUAGUGAGGUCUUUGGACUGCCUUGGCUUGGCUGGCGACGGCUGAACCCUGGCGGGAAGUCGAUCAAACUUGGUCAUUUAGAGGAAGUAAAAGUCGUAACAAGGUCUCCGUAGGUGAACCUGCGGAGGGAUCAUUGAUGGUUGACUUGUCUUAAUGGCAAUGUCUUCUCUUCCAUCCCUUGUGAAAAUUAAAACCUUUCUUUGGCUGAUGAAACAUCAUUGGCCAAAGUCUUUACAAGUUCUGGAGUUUUGCUUGUCUAUGACAAUUCUUUUAACAUAUGAAAACUUUCAACAACGGAUCUCUUGGCUCUCGUAUCGAUGAAGAACGCAGCGAGAUGCGAUACGUAGUGUGAAUUGCAGAUUUUUGUGGAUCAUCGAGUUUUUGAACGCAUAUUGCGCUCUCCGUUGAGGAGAGCAUACCUGUUUGAGAGUUGUUAAAACUUCUUCACUAGCUUUUUUGCUAAGUGGUGUUGGGCGUUGCUUUGUGCAAAGCAUUGUCUGCAAAUUGUUUGACUUUAUUUUGGUGAACUUGCGCAACAAGGAGUUUCAUGGAGACCGACUGUUGACUGAACACUGAAAAUGAAAGUCAUUAAGCUUGAAAUUAAGAGUUCAACCUCAAAUCAGGUAAGAAGACCCGCUGAACUUAAGCAUAUCAAUAAGCGGAGGAAAAGAAACCAACAGGGAUUCCCCCAGUAGUGGCGAACGAAGAGGGAAAAGCUCAACCUUGAAAUCGAGCGAGUUUCUCGUUCGAGUUGUGGGUUGUGGAGGUGCGGUCUGUUGGAACUUGGAUCCAAGUCCUUUGGAACAAGGCGUCAAGGAGGGUGAGAACCCCGUUUGUGAUCCAAUGCUUUCAACUUUGUGUCCCACCUUCUUAGAGUCGAGUUGUUUGGGAAUGCAGCUCAAAAUGGGAGGUAAAUUCCUUCUAAAGCUAAAUAUGGACGAGAGACCGAUAGCGCACAAGUACAGCUAUGGGCAGAUGAAAAGCACUUUGAAAAGAGGGUGAAAUAGUGCGUGAAAUUGUUGAAAGGGAAGCGUUUGGUGUCAGCCCACGGUGGUGAAGGGGCCCUCAGUCUCGGCUGUGGUAGCCCCUCGACACUGGGCCAGCGUCGGUUCUUGAGUGCGGGAGAAAGAUCACGAGAAUGUAGUUCUCUUCGGGGAGCGUUAUAGCUUGUGGUGUCAUACCGCCUUGGGGACCGAGGUUUGCGGUGACUCGUUCACCAAGGACGCUGGCGUAAUGGUUCCAAGCGACCCGUCUUGAAACACGGACCAAGGAGUCUAACAUCCAUGCGAGUGUUUGGGUGGAAAGCCCGUACGCGUAAUGAAAGUGAUACUGCAGGCGAGAACCGCAAGGUGCAUCGUCCACCGGUCCGGAGGUUUACCAAAGGAUCCGAGUAGGAGCAUGGCUGUUGGGACCCGAAAGAUGGUGAACUAUGCCUGAACAGGGUGAAGCCAGGGGAAACUCUGGUGGAGGCUCGUAGCGAUUCUGACGUGCAAAUCGAUCGUCUGAUUUGGGUAUAGGGGCGAAAGACUAAUCGAACCA